GCCUGGGUGGCGGAAUUGGUAGACGCAAGGGACUUAAAAUCCCUCGGGAGUUAAUCCCGUGCCGGUUCAACUCCGGCUCCGGGCA
rnacentral:tRNA from 1 species